rnacentral:rRNA from 1 species
UACGGAGGGUGCAAACGUUGCUCGGAAUCAUUGGGCGUAAAGCGUGUGUAGGCGGUCUGUUAAGUCGGGUGUGAAAGCCCUGGGCUCAACCUAGGAAGUGCAUUCGAAACUAGCAGACUUGAGUACGGGAGAGGGUCGCGGAAUUCCCGGUGUAGAGGUGAAAUUCGUAGAUAUCGGGAGGAACACCAGUGGCGAAGGCGGCGACCUGGACCGAUACUGACGCUGAGACACGAAAGCGUGGGGAGCAAACAGG